AUUGAACGCUGGCGGCAGGCUUAACACAUGCAAGUCGAACGGUAACAUAAGAAAAGCUUGCUUUUUUUGAUGACGAGUGGCGGACGGGUGAGUAAUGCUUGGGAAUCUGCCUUAUGGAGGGGGAUAACUAUGGGAAACUGUAGCUAAUACCGCAUAAUAUCUACGGAUUAAAGUGUGGGAUCUUCGGACCACAUACCAUAAGAUGAGCCCAAGUGAGAUUAGGUAGUUGGUGAGGUAAAGGCUCACCAAGCUGACGAUCUCUAGCUGGUUUGAGAGGAUGACCAGCCACACUGGGACUGAGACACGGCCCAGACUCCUACGGGAGGCAGCAGUGGGGAAUAUUGCACAAUGGGCGCAAGCCUGAUGCAGCCAUGCCGCGUGAAUGAAGAAGGCUUUCGGGUUGUAAAGUUCUUUCAUUAGUGAGAAAGGUAUAAAUGUUAAUAGCAUUUGUAAUUGAUGUUAGCUAAAGAAGAAGCACCGGCUAACUCCGUGCCAGCAGCCGCGGUAAUACGGAGGGUGCGAGCGUUAAUCGGAAUAACUGGGCGUAAAGGGCAUGCAGGCGGUUACUUAAGUCAGAUGUGAAAGCCCCGAGCUUAACUUGGGAAUUGCAUUUGAAACUGGGUGACUAGAGUCCUCUAGGGAGGGGUAGAAUUCCACGUGUAGCGGUGAAAUGCGUAGAGAUGUGGAGGAAUACCGAAGCGAAGGCAGCCCCUUGGAGAGAGACUGACGCUCAUAUGCGAAAGCGUGGGUAGCAAACAG
rnacentral:rRNA from 1 species